UUAUUUCUUUUGUUUGAUUCAGACACAAAGACUGAUUCGUAGCAUAAAAGCGACGCCGAAGCGCCGAAGCACAUGUUGCUUCCACAGGUUUGCAAGGUUGAAGGCCCAGAGGCCAUUCAUUAAUGAUCCCUCCGCAGGUUCACCUACGGAGA
rnacentral:misc_RNA from 1 species